CGAGAAUUUCGAGGCCUGAAUGCAAGAACCGUUUUGAGCAUACUGGCCUCCAAAUUUUCGCU
rnacentral:pre_miRNA from 1 species